CCCUGGGCUUCUGCUGGGGGGGCUUGCCUGUGCGCCCCUCUCCACCCGGGCGGGGAAAGGAUGCCUUUGCAGGGACUGCCCUGGAUCUCCGGGUCUCCCCUUUCUGAUGCUCCUUUCCCCUCGCGGUCCCAGACGCCCGGCUCAUUACCAACCACCUCCAUCCCAGAAAUGAAAGCAAAACAAGAGAAAUGGCCAUUCUUGCUCGUCCAGGUCCCCGCUCCCCGAUCUCCCUCCCUCAAACCCCACGGAUAACGGCAAGUGCCUCAGCAGACUGAGAGCCAUCCCGAGGUGGCUCAGCCUCAGCGCUCGGUCGUAUGUGGAUGUGCAGAGGGCAAUUUAGAGUCGGUUCGGGACCACAGAGAUGAACCAAUCCAGACCAGUCGCCUCGUUUCUCAGAGGACGAAAUGAUGACUUUCCAAAGUCACAGCGAGUUCCUAGCAAAGCGGAACCAGUGCCAGGCUCUGGGGACUUAGAGGUCCUCACUGGGUCCACUGUCCUCUCAGAAGCCCGGCUAGCUCUGCAGAACCUCUGGGACCGUUCCAGGCAGUGUCCCGUGUGGGGACAGCAAAGCCCCGGGUGUCCUGUAACCUCCUCCUCCCUCCCAACAUGGCCAUAGACACUGCUAACUUUUAAUGUUGUCGCAGCGUAUGGCACCACUUUGCAAGGGGGAAGCGAGGCACGAAGGUUAAAGGGCUUGCCUAAGAGCUGACAGCCGUGCAAGGGUCGUGACAUCUACCUUUCCACGGCACCAGCUGGGUCAGAGCCACCUGCGAUCCCUGCUCCUGGGUCAGGGAUGGCCACAGUGUUCCCCCGACUGGCACGUGGCAUCACCAGGAAGCCAAUGAGGGCCGAGUGCCAGGGCCUCUCAUCGGCAGGCCCCUUCUAAGGCCCUGAGCCUAAUUUCCCAUUUGUCGUUUUGUAUUAUUUUUACUUAAAAAGAUGCCCCCCCAACUGUGCAGGUUCUAGGCCCCAUACCACCUUCCUCUGCCCUGCCACCUGGGUCCCACACCGGAUAAGAUGAGCUUGUUUGUCCUGCCCUGUGCGGGGGCUGUUAGGCUGCCCUCGCAGGACUGCUGGGAGAGAGAAAUGAGGCAGUGGGGUCAAGUGGUAACAGUAUGUCACUUUUUCUUCCUUUGCAAAACUGAAUGGCAUCCCAACACGACUCUGGCCUUCUUGUUUAGACAAGCAUGGAUUGGGUCCGCUCUCACUCUCACUGGGACAAGCUAACCUCUCAGUGCUCGGCUCCUCUGUCAGAAGGGGCCAUGCGCUUACUGCACUACGAGGAUGAUGGGAAUUUAACUGGUUAUUUGUUAAAGGCCUGCUGUGGGCCAGGGGGUGUUCCAGGGCUCCCAGGGGACACGGCAGAACACAGAGGGACCGAGUCCCUGUUGAUGGAGUUUACACUGUGUGGGGACAGACAGGCAGGCAGCGUCUAAGUGCGUGGAAAGGUUUAAUGCGGGGCAGUGAGAAGGGCUAGGACGAAAACUGGAGCAGAGCGGGAAGCAGGGUGGGCAGGAGCCGAUUCUCCAGAUGGGAGGGAUGUUUAGCCCUCCCAGAGGUGCCAUCUGAGUGGGACAGGUAGGGGGUGCGGAGCGGAUGUCUAGGGGAGGAGCACUGCAGAGCGAGGGGACAGGGGCAGAGGCCCUCAGGCGCAGGGUCCUGGUGCUGCGGGACAGCAAGGCUGGGGCGGCGGCAGGGGCCAGCGCCGGGUUAUUCAGGCUUUGUGGCCACGGUGAGGGCUUUGGUUAAAGGGGAGAACAGGUGUUUGAGUCUGCCUUCUCCCCUGCCUCCGGCCCCUGCUCCCGAACAAACGGGAGCGAGAUUUCUAGCAGAGCCCCUGACAGUACUUUGUGCUCUAUUGAUUUUUAAAAAUAGAUAAGCAGGUUCUUAUCUAAGGGCCAAAUGCCCUUUGGUCGUUUGGCAAGUACACUCUAGAGAUGUUGAUUCCAAUUUCGCAAUUACCCUGUUAAGAGAAAUGACGUCUCCCUAUCCCUUUCCUCACUCCCUUCCAAAUUCUGUUAGGCUGAGCUUCAAUGCUGGCGAGCAAGCCUGCUUGCCCCUUGGACAGAAAUCAGAGGGGAGGGGCUGUUGAGAAGAGAGAGAGAGAGAGAGAGAGAACAUGCACACCAGGGAAGAGGGCUCAGUCAAACAAGCCCUCCGGGAUUAAAACUUGCCUUUGAAAAGGAAGCUCAGGAGCCAGUUAGGAGACUCCAGGGGCCCCCAGAGGAACAGGUGACCCAGUUAACAUGGAUUUGAGGGAGGAAGAGCCCAGGAGUGACUUAUCCCCUAGACGCCACUCUCGAACACAGUCAGGAGCUGAAGUGUGUCCUUCCACAAGCAGCGAUGCAUAGAGAUCACAGGUGUGGGCUUUGGAACUAGUUAGGCGUGGGUUUGCAUCCCGUGCUAUCUGCUCUGCCCCUCAGCAGCCCUGAGCCUUGGGUGA